AUUGAACGCUGGCGGCAUGCCUAACACAUGCAAGUCGAACGAGUGGCGGACGGGUGAGUAAUGUCUGGGACCCUGCCUGAUGGAGGGGGAUAACUACUGGAAACGGUAGCUAAUACCGCAUACCAUCGGAUGUGCCCAGAUGGGAUUAGCUAGUCGGUGGGGUAAAGGCUCACCUGGGCGACGAUCCCUAGCUGGGCUGAGAGGAUGACCAGCCACACUGGAACUGGAACACGGUCCAGACGCCUACGGGAGGCAGCAGGGGGGAAUAGUGCACAAUGGGCGCAAGCCUGAUGCAGCCAUGCAGCGUGUAUGAAGAAGGCCUUCGGGUUGGAAAGUACUUUCAGCGGGGAGGCGUUACUGGCAGAAGAAGCACCGGCUAACUCCGUGCCAGCAGCCGCGGUAAUAC
rnacentral:rRNA from 1 species